ACAGGCAGGUUCAUAUCAGCUUUCAAAUAAUUUUGUCUUAACUGCUGCUGCUCAGUAUAAAGACUUCAAAUGGUGGUUUUCUUACUAGCCCUCCUAGCAGAUGUUCCCAUGGCACUAGGAUCUGGGAGCCUCAGUAUGACAAAUCAGUCUCCCCCUCCAAUACCUAUAUAGAUUGAAGAUACCAACUUGGCAAACUGUUCCUCUGUAAACAACAGGAGAAAUACAGUGAUCUACAGAAAAGGUUUUGCAAGGAGAGCAGACCAGCAGUCAGCUUCAAAAUAUUUGUGACAACCCAGCCGAAAGAUCAUUAUGCUCAUCUGAGGUCAGAGAACCAGUAGCCCCUGCAGCCCACAGACAUCCACGAUGGAAGAGAUGUCCACCCACCUGCAGCCCGUGGAGGACCCCACACUGGAGCAGGUUCCCAAAGGAGGCUGUGACCUUGUGCUUUACCAGGCUCCUGGCAGGUCCCACGUAGAGGAGCCCAUGCUGGAGCAGGUUUGCUGGCAGGACUUGUGACCCCGUGGGGGACCCACAUGACACAAUUUGCCCCUGAAGGACUGAACCACAUCAAAGGUUCCCAGCUGGAGCAGUUUGUGAAGAACUGUAGUCCAUGGGAAGGACUCACGUUGGAGAAGUUCAUGGAGGAUGGUCUCCUGUGGGAGGGACCCCAGGCUGGAGAAGAGGAAGAUUGUGAAGAGUCUUCCCCCUGUGGAGGAAGCAGCAGCAGAGACAAUGUGUGAUGAACUGACCAUAAACUCCAUUCCAAUCCUCCUGUUCACCUGGGUGGGGAGGAGGUAGAACAUGAAAAAAAACCCAAAGCCUGGAAAGAAGGGACGAGGGGAAGGAAAGUGUUUUAAAGUUUUGGGUUUAUCUCCCGUUGCUUUACUCUGACUUGAUUGGUAAUAAAUUAAUUAAUUUGCCCAAGUUGAGUCUUCUCUACCUCUGAAAGCAACUGAUGAGUGUUCUCUUCCUGCACUUAUGAGACAGAGAACUGCUGAACCUUUCAUUAUAUUUCCUCUCCCCUGUCCAGCUGAGGAGGGGAGUGAUAGAGCAGCUUUGGAGAGCACCUGGAGAGCAGACAGGGUAAACCCACUCCAUUUCUUUUGCUAGCUUGUCCCCAGUGGCAAAACAAAUGUUUUCUGCAAUGCAGCUCUUUCCAGGAUUUGUUCACCAUCACUGCUGAAAAGUGCUGAGUUUUGGAGAGCCCAGGCUCUUGCUUAGUUGGGCUAACCAUGGCUACAAGAAAAUAUUAAGUGCUAAUAAGCCUAACUGCAGGUCUCUGAUUAAGAUCUGUUGUCAGCUGGCACCUUCCAGAAGCAUUUCAGAACUUAAAUGGCAGGGCAGAUAUUUCAGUAUCAGAUUAAGAGAAUUACAAAAUUGCUGAUUUUGGAAGGGAGAUGGCCUAGAUUAACCCCACUGCUCAAACUAGGGCCUGCUAGAGCCAUUUGCACUUUUCCUGUAGCUCAAUUCCCCUGAUACUAAUUAUUCUGAUGCAAACUUGUGAAUUGGGGACUAGCCAUGUUUUUCAAUUAACAUUGGUAUGUUAUGUUUACCCACUUUUAACAAAUGUUUAUAUAAAAGAAGUUGUUUAGAAAAUGUUGCUUUCAUGGAUAUUAACAAACUAUAGCAUGUCUGAAUCACCAUUUCUGUGUUGCUAGGCUGAAUGUAGCAAAUUCUAGUUCUCAUUUGUGAAAAGAGCUUCUGUGCCCAAUUAUCCCAGUAA